UACGUAGGGCGCAAGCGUUGUCCGGAAUUAUUGGGCGUAAAGAGCUCGUAGGCGGUUUGUCGCGUCUGCCGUGAAAGUCCGGGGCUCAACUCCGGAUCUGCGGUGGGUACGGGCAGACUAGAGUGAUGUAGGGGAGACUGGAAUUCCUGGUGUAGCGGUGAAAUGCGCAGAUAUCAGGAGGAACACCGAUGGCGAAGGCAGGUCUCUGGGCAUUGCCUGACGCUGAGGAGUGAAAGUGUGGGGAGCGAACAGG
rnacentral:rRNA from 1 species